ACAAGCCAUUUAAGCAGUGACAGUGCCUUUGGAAUGGAAGUCCGGUUUUGAAAGGACCAUAAUGUCUUCAUUCAUGUUAGACACAUAAAGGAAACUGCUGACUGUUUUGAAAUUCAUAAAAUUGGAAAGCGAGGGAGGGAGUGUAUAGAAAACGUGGGGGUGGUGGACCUAAAGUCCUCAAAAAUGAAUCGCACUCUUAUUCAGCAGUUUUGGACCAAAUGGAGUAUUAGACUAGGACUUUUCUUUUGGACUUGAGCCUGGCUUCUAUCCAGCUUGCAAUAGCAUUCUCUUUCAAUGGGCCAUAGAAUUGAUGGAAAUAAUCCCAAUCCUUUUAUUUCACAUCCUCUCUUCUUUGAAAUCCUUUAUGAGGUGGAAAAUGCCUAACCAGCCAUCCAAAAAGAGGAGCAGAGGCAGCCACCUGUUCAGCAUCAGACGAAGCCAAUAUUUUUCAUUCAACCAGCUCGGGAUAUUCUCCUGGCCAACUUAUCCCCCCGAAACAGAGGCUGGGCUUGGCCGAUGGAGCUGUGCCUUCCAGACACACAAGAGGUGAGAAAUCCAGGAUCUUGGAUGAUUCGGCAGGUAUCCCUGAGUGUAAUUCCUGAAAUGGCUCAUUAUGCCAGUGUGGAUAGUAUGGGGAAAGUGACACUGAAAAACUGGGAGAGAGAACAUAGGAGCUCAAUUUGAAAUGUCCAUCAAAAGUGCCACGGAGCAUUGAGCCAUGCCACCGAGGGACAAAUAGGAGAGCAGGGGUUAGAGCUAAAUCACAUGACUUGACAAAGCAGCUUCCAACAAUACCUAACUGUCUGAUCCCCUGCAGACCUGGCCAGUAAAUAAUUGUAUUUUGUAGUUCAUUUGAAAAGACCAACUUUUCAAAUACUCGAGGCAGACAAAUAUAUUUAUAUAGAGUUUAAACUAAAAGGCAACUAAUUUCUUCCGAUAAUCUAAUAGAGAUCUCAGAAAACCAAAUAUUUGAAGGUACUUGAAAAUAAAAAAAUAUUUAUUGAUGGCUGCCAAAUACAGCAAAAAACUACAACAGUUAGUUAGUCUAAAUACAGUGCAUUCUGAAAGUAUUCAGACCCCUUGAAUUGUUCCACAUUUUGUUAGGUUACUGCCUUAUUUUAAAAUUGAUUAAAUUGGUUUGUUU
rnacentral:lncRNA from 8 species